AUUGAACGCUGGCGGAAUGCUUUACACAUGCAAGUCGAACGGCAGCACGGACUUCGGUCUGGUGGCGAGUGGCGAACGGGUGAGUAAUACAUCGGAACGUGCCCAAUCGUGGGGGAUAACGUAGCGAAAGCUACGCUAAUACCGCAUACGAUCUAAGGAUGAAAGCGGGGGAUCGCAAGACCUCGCGCGAUUGGAGCGGCCGAUGUCAGAUUAGGUAGUUGGUAGGGUAAAGGCCUGCCAAGCCGACGAUCUGUAGCUGGUCUGAGAGGAUGAUCAGCCACCCUGUGACUGGAAAACGGACCAGACUCCUACCGAAGGCAGGAGUGAGUAAUGUUGGACAAUUGACGCAAGUCUGUUCCAGCCAUUCCGCGUGCAGGAUUAAGGCCCUCGGGUUGUCAACUGCUUUUGUACAGAACGAAAAGGCUCUGGUUAAUACCUAGGGCUCAUGACGGUACUGUAAGAAUAAGCACCGGCUAACUACGUGCCAGCCGCCGCGGUAA
rnacentral:rRNA from 1 species